GACGAACCGUACGAACGUUAUUCGGAAUCACUGGGCUUAAAGGGUGCGUAGGCGGCGCGACAAGUUGGGUGUGAAAUCCCUCGGCUCAACCGAGGAACUGCGCCCAAAACUGUCGUGCUCGAGGGAGACAGAGGUGAGCGGAACUUAGGGUGGAGCGGUGAAAUGCGUAGAUAUCAGGAGGAAUACCGGUGGUGUAGACGGCUCUCUGGACCGUAACUGACGCUGAGACACGAAAGCGUGGGUAGCAAACAGG
rnacentral:rRNA from 1 species